GGGGAAUUUUGGACAAUGGGCGCAAGCCUGAUCCAGCAAUGCCGCGUGCAGGAUGAAGGCCUUCGGGUUGUAAACUGCUUUUGUACGGAACGAAACGGUCCUUUCUAAUACGAGGGGCUAAUGACGGUACCGUAAGAAUAAGCACCGGCUAACUACGUGCCAGCAGCCGCGGUAAUACGUAGGGUGCGAGCGUUAAUCGGAAUUACUGGGCGUAAAGCGUGCGCAGGCGGUUUUGUAAGACAGAUGUGAAAUCCCCGGGCUCAACCUGGGACCUGCAUUGGUGACUGCAAGGCUAGAGUACGGUAGAGGGGGAUGGAAUUCCGCGUGUAGCAGCGAAAUGCGUAGAUAUGCGGAGGAACACCGAUGGCGAAGGCAAUCCCCUGGACCUGUACUGACGCUCAUGCACGAAAGCGUGGGGAGCAAAC
rnacentral:rRNA from 1 species